rnacentral:rRNA from 1 species
AGAUUGAACGCUGGCGGCAUGCCUUACACAUGCAAGUCGAGCGGCAGCGCGGGGGCAACCCUGGCGGCGAGCGGCGGACGGGCGAGUAAUGCAUCGGAACGUGUCCUCUUGUGGGGGAUAACCAGUCGAAAGACUGGCUAAUACCGCAUGAGCUCGUAAGAGGAAAGCAGGGGACCCGCAAGGGCCUUGCGCGAGAGGAGCGGCCGAUCGCCCGAUUAGCUUAGUUGGUAGGGUAAACGCCUACCGAAGGCGACGAGUCGGUAGCUGGUCUGAGAGGACCGACACGACCACGACGUGGAC